UAAUACGUAGGGUGCGAGCGUUAAUCGGAAUUACUGGGCGUAAAGCGUGCGCAGGCGGUUCGUUGUGUCUGAUGUGAAAGCCCCGGGCUCAACCUGGGAAUGGCAUUGGAAACUGGCGAGCUAGAGUGUGGCAGAGGGGGGUGGAAUUCCGCGUGUAGCAGUGAAAUGCGUAGAGAUGCGGAGGAACACCGAUGGCGAAGGCAGCCCCCUGGGCUGACACUGACGCUCAGGCACGAAAGCGUGGGGAGCAAACAGGAUUAGAUACCCUGGUAGUCCACGCCCUAAACGAUGUCAACUGGGUGUUGGGGAAGCGAUUCCUUGGUACCGUAGCUAACGCGUGAAGUUGACCGCCUGGGGAGUACGGCCGCAAGGUUA
rnacentral:rRNA from 1 species